AGGAAGUGGUGCUUUCCAGAAAGCAUCAGCUGUGGUAAUAGGAAGAAGAACUGGUGGUGGGCAGGGCCCUAGAAAUCCCAAGGUUAUAUGCCCUUUGUCUUCAGCUACCAGAGUGGAUAGGGGAAGGCCCAUGAGGUGGAGGCAGGGCUAGGCGUGUCUGAGCUCAGACUUUCCUUGGGCGGGUCUUGCUGCGGCUGCUUUGGGAGAUGGGAAUAAGGUUCCCAGGUCAAUGGAGUUGUGUAUCUAGGUGGAUUAUGACUGCCUCUGCUGAGUCAUGCAGGUUGUCAGGGAAGUGGGGGAAACCUGGCAGUCAUAGGCCUCACCCAGCUCCCACGCAAACUAAAGAGCCAGUCUCACUCCCACCAUGCCCCCCGCUCCAACAGCUCCGAGUUUGCUUCCAGGCGAUAGGCAAGCCAGGCUUGAGAAGUUGCCCCAGCCUACCCGCCUAGGUUCUUCCCCCACCUGUGAAGUCUGCACACUGGAUUCGUGCACUCCUCCGAGUUCUGAUGGGACCAUCUAGUUGCAGGAUAAGCAGCUCGGGGCUCCUACUGAUUCGACAUUAUGAUUGAAAGCACAGCACAAGCCAAAUCCAUUAAGAUCCAUGUACUUCAGAUUUACCCUGGAGCAAUCAUCAUUUAGAGGUCUGGGAGAGAAGAAGCCAGCAAAGGAGAUUAAGAGCAUCCAGAGACAGAGGAUAAAAACCAGGAGAAAGUGAUGCUCUGGAAGUCAAGGAUGAAAGCGUUUCAAGGAAAACGAACGUUAACUGGCAGGAAAUGUUGCUGAUAAGUGAAACGUGGAAUGGAAUGAUGGAUUAAACAUGGUGGAGAGA